UUAUCUUCCCUCCUUUGGUGCUCUGAAUUCAUUCUUCACCUAUCCGGCGUCGUCGAUAGUUGUUGAGGAAUCAUCAUACGAUAUCCUUUUCAAUCGAGAAAAUUGAUUGCUCUUUCUUAGAGUUUUAACAUUUAAAUUAUUUCCUAAAAAUGAGAGCAAAGUGGAGAAAGAAGAGGAUGCGAAGGUUGAAGAGGAAACGCAGGAAGAUGCGUGAAAGAUCAAAGUAGAUUGCAUCUACAAGUUGUAUGUUCCAUAUGGUGUUUCAGCUCUGUAAAAUGAAGACUUCAUAAUGUCGGAAGAAGCGCUGAUGAUUCCUGUGGGAAAAUUUUUUUUAUAUAAUGAACUUUUUUGUUUAUAUUUGCUUGUUUGAGAUCAACAUUUCAAACUCAUUAAAACCUCUUCACCAACA